GUGGGGAAUCUUGCACAAUGGGGGAAACCCUGAUGCAGCGACGCCGCGUGAGCGAUGAAGCCCUUCGGGGUGUAAAGCUCUUUCGGCAGGGAAGAUUAUGACGGUACCUGCAGAAGCAGCUGCGGCUAACUACGUGCCAGCAGCCGCGGUAAUACGUAGGCAGCAAGCGUUGUUCGGAGUUACUGGGCGUAAAGGGUGUGUAGGCGGUUCCUCAAGUUUGGUGUGAAAUCUCCCGGCUUAACUGGGAGGGUGCGCCGAAUACUGAGGGGCUAGAGUGCGGGAGAGGAAAGUGGAAUUCCUGGUGUAGCGGUGAAAUGCGUAGAUAUCAGGAGGAACACCGGUGGUGUAAACGGCUUUCUGGACCGUAACUGACGCUGAGACACGAAAGCGUGGGUAGCAAACAGGAUUAGAUACCCUGGUAGUCC
rnacentral:rRNA from 1 species